rnacentral:rRNA from 1 species
CAGUAGCCGCGGGAAUACGAAGGGUGCAAGCGUUAAUCGGAAUUACUGGGCGUAAAGGGUGCGUAGGCGGUUGUUUAAGUCUGUUGUGAAAUCCCCGGGCUCAACCUGGGACCUGCAUUUGUGACUGUAUAGCUAGAGUACGGUAGAGGGGGAUGGAAUUCCGCGUGUAGCAGUGAAAUGCGUAGAUACGCGGAGGAACACCGAUGGCGAAGGCAAUCCCCUGGACCUGUACUGACGCUCAUGCACGAAAGCGUGGGGAGCAAACAGGAUUAGAUACCCGUGUAGUCCCUGUCUCUUAUAA